AUUGAACGCUGGCGGCAGGCUUAACACAUGCAAGUCGAGCGAGCGGCGGACGGGUGAGUAAUGUCUGGGAAACUGCCUGAUGGAGGGGGAUAACUACUGGAAACGGUAGCUAAUACCGCAUACCAUCAGAUGUGCCCCGAUGGGAUUAGCUAGUAGGUGGGGUAAUGGCUCACCUAGGCGACGAUCCCUACCCGGUCUGAGAGGGUGACCGGCCACACUGGAACUGCGGCACGGGCCGGACUCCGACGGGAGGCGGCAGUGGGGGAUAUUGCACGAUGGGCGCGAGCCUGAUGCAGCCAUGCCGCGUGUGUGAAGAAGGCCUUCGGGUUGUAAAGCACUUUCAGCGAGGAGGCGUUACUCGCAGAAGAAGCACCGGCUAACUCCGUGCCAGCCGCCGCGGUAAUAC
rnacentral:rRNA from 1 species